rnacentral:lncRNA from 1 species
CUCUUCGCCUCUGCAAUCAAGCUCUCCCAAUAAACGUGUGCUGAAGGAUCCUGUUGCAGCAUCGUUCUUGCUGGCGAGUCGGGCGAAACCUGGGAAAAGAAACAUCUUCAGGCUCGAGCGAAGACCCCCUGCUACAGGGAAGAUUCAGAACUGCAUCAUGGGGAAGGAGCAGUUAAUAAAGUGUUCCCGUAAAACAGACUGCUGAGAAUGAUCCGGCGUGGAUUCAGAACUCUUCAGCUGGGGAACGGUGGUACCGGAGGAGGAGAAGGAGACUGGAGGCACCUGCCUCUUGGGCUGAUUCUUAGGUGCCCACUGGACCCAUGCUGGGUGAC